GCGAGGAAUAUUGCACAAUGGAGGCAACUCUGAUGCAGUAACGCCGCGUGAGGGAAGAAGAUUUUCGGAUUGUAAACCUCUUUUUGUAGAGACGAGCGAGGACGGUAUCUAUAGAAUAAGUCUCGGCUAACUACGUGCCAGCAGCCGCGGUAAGACGUAGGAGGCGAGCGUUAUCCGGAUUCACUGGGCGUAAAGCGCAUGUAGGCGGUUGUGCAAGUCGUGUGUGAAAGUCCCCGGCUCAACUGGGGAAGGUCAUGCGAAACUGUGCGACUCGAGGGCAGGAGAGGAACGUGGAACUCCCGGUGUAGCGGUGGAAUGCGUAGAGAUCGGGAAGAACACCAGUGGCGAAGGCGACGUUCUGGUCUGCACCUGACGCUGAGAUGCGAAAGUGUGGGUAGCAAACGGGAUUAGAAACCCUAGUAGUCC
rnacentral:rRNA from 1 species